rnacentral:tRNA from 1 species
GGGGACGUAGCUCAGUUGGGAGAGCGUCGCGUUCGCAAUGCGAAGGUCGUGGGUUCAAGUCCCAUCGUCUCCACCA